rnacentral:siRNA from 1 species
GAACUUUCACGCCAAUUCGAAUGA